UCUAAAACAUCUGUUUUUAAAGUUAAUGAACAAUGGGAAGUUAUAGAUUAAUUAAACAAGUUAAUAAAAAACAAAAUACUCUCCAGCUAUUGAGGGUCAGAGUUCCCUGAACUGAACAAUCACAAGUUAGACCACUUGUUAAACUGAUCACAGCUAAAUUGUUGCAAGUCUUUGGAAUUUAAUAAAACCUGCUGGAUUUGGACCAGGGACCAAGACAAAGACAGGGUGGGGAUCUGUCAGAGCCACUUUUCCCAGAGGGCAAUGGGGAAUGAUCUUCCAACUUCAGUAAACCUGACCAGUUAUCUAGGAGGAAAGCAGAGCUCCUAUUAUGUGCUGAUCCAGAGAGCGAAGGAAGCAAGGCAGAGGCUGACUGAUGGGACUGUGUUCAUUUAUUUUAUCUGAGAGGAAUAUGGAAAACUGUUGUUGGUUUUUGAAGUUGCAGCAGCCAAAUAAAGAAACGAGUGGACUUUGACUAUAAAAAUAAAAAAUCUUGUCUACAGUUAGAGCUUUAAAUGCUGGAAAUAACUUGCAACAAGUGACAAGACUUGAAGACUCCUCCAACCCAUCCAACUUGGGGGGGCCACUUGUGUGGUAAAAAGUCCCCGAAGGUUCAGCUCCAAAUGGAGGUGUCCUGAAUGGAAUGGGCAUCCAAGAAGAAGGGGCUCAGCGUCAUCGCCUGGGUAAAGGCAGCAGCAGCUUCCUCCAGAUGUCCAAGUCUGAAGAAUAAAGAAGUACAACUGUUAAACCUCUGGGUUUUAGAUAAGACAGGGUAAAUGACUACAUUUAAAAGAAUUAAAUAGAAAUAUAUGAACAGAUACUAUUUUGGCAUUAAGUGAGGCAUAUGUUUAUAAAGGUUUUUAAAACGAAAUUGUCAGACUACCAUUUGUGUGCAAUUUCAUUUCGGGGGCCUUAUUUUCAUAUAGGGUAGCAUAAAGGAAAAAUUCCAACUGGAAUUAUAUGUAAGAAGUGCUUUCUAAUUUUACACACAGGAUACUUGAAAGUAAAAAAGCAUGGGGAAAUAUUGAGCCUUUUUAUAAUUUGUGUGGAAUCUUAAUUGCAUAGGCUCAUAAUACAAUAAUACAAACAGACACUAUUGGCAUGACAUUACACCAAUAAGUAUUCCCAAAGAAGAGAACAAUAAUACAGAGUUGAAGCAGCAUGCAUAAUAUACUGCAGUGCAAUACAAUAAAGGGUACAGAAGGGUGUAAUAUAUUACUAUAUAGCAUAGUACUAUAGUACAUAGUACAAUACAGUGCAAUACUGUAUAGUAACAGUGACAAAACAGCAAUCAUUGAAUUGCACCACUUUCCAAUUUCAUGGGAUAUACUAUUUGAACAAAAGUGAGGGCUUAGAAUCAAGGAGUCCCAGGUUGUCUCUCAGUUGCCCCCCUCCUCUGAAUCUGUAGUAUAACUGUAGUAAAAGCCCAUCAUAUAACAAAUCUACUCCAUGUAUUGUUUCUCUAAUACGCCCUGCCACCACUAUCUUUUUUAUUACCAUUAGAUACUUUCCAGCAACAAGACAUCCAAUUGCCUCAGGCUGCUCAGAUAUGCUAGUGCAUCACUAAUGAACACAGAACGAGCAGAGUAAAUUAAAAAUUCAUUACUGAAAGAAAGAAUAUGCACAUGCACAGAAUGUUUCAUUGUCCAAACUGAGGUUUUAAGUAUUAAGAACUAAUAGUAUCUCCUGACACAGUGUUCUUGUCCUUGUCCAAGUCCUUGCUUGGGUAAUUUUCACAUUCAAUACAAAACAUGUCCCAGUCCAUAAGGCAAGGUACAGUGCAAGGGUAUUCCAGUAUUCUUUUACAGAUCCCCUCUCGGGCUACAAUAUCAAAUUCAUAGAAAAUGAUUGAUUUGCUUUAAACAUGUUUUUCAUUCCAGAAUGAUGAUUUUAUAAAUGAAUCUUUUAAAACCAUGGAACUAAGGACUUAGGACUUUGGACUUAGCACAGCUUUUAUACCCUUGAGCAAGGUCCUCAUACCCAGCUGCAUUAAUGGGUACAAAUGUAAAUAACUUUGGAUAGAAGUGUCAUCUAAAUCAAUUUCAACAGAUUUGUGAGACUUCACACUGAAAACAAGAUAUCAUGUUUUUUAUCUUUUUACUACCGGAAAAACCUGUUCUGCUGGUAGCAAGAUAUAAAACAUAGUUUGGGGGGAAAAAAAUGUUUACCAUAGACAAAUACUAUAUUUCUGAUCAUGGAAAAAAAUGUUUACAUCAUUGUAUUUCUCUCUAUAUAUCUAAAGAAUAAUUAAAGUGGACAUUCCCUAUUCACCACACAGAAAGGUGAAUAAAAAUGCCUUUUGCACUUGAAAGUGAUCGUAAAUUGCUGUUUCCUUAUUCAAUACUGGCAACAGUGUGACAUGAGUGAAGGGUCUGUGUGAUGGUAUACCACCCUUUGGGAUUCCAAAAAUAACAGCUCGGUCAAGCACAAUAAAAUUCAGUCUUCAGCACUCUGAAAUUACAGAGUUGGGUGUUAAUAAGGUCUAUAAAAUGACAAAACAGCUGAGAGAGCAGGGUUAAUUCAUCUGGUCCAAACAACAGUGAAUAUAAUUGUUUUCCUGCUUUGUAUCCCUUGAAAAUGAUAUUUUUGUGUGCACUGGGAAUAAAAAAUCAAUAUCUGAAUUAAUGACCAGAUCUUUUUUUGUACCUUAAGGAAAAAAAAAACAGAAUGGCCUUUUUAAGUGUAAGCAUAUGUCAAUGAGUCAACAUUUAGGUCAAAUUCAAUCAUGUUUUUUAAUAAACCAAACAGAAAAUUACAUUGAAUUGUUCAACAUAUUUGCUAGCAUUGUAUAGAUAUAUACUGUAUGUAUAUCAUUCAACAAAUGUAAAGUUUCACAUUAAAACUUUGUGUCUAGUGAGCA